UACGUAGGGGGGCUAGCGUUGUCCGGAAUCAUUGGGCGUAAAGAGCGUGUAGGCGGUCCGGUAAGUCCGCUGUGGAAGUCGGGGGCUCAACCCUCGAAUGCCGGUGGAUACUGUCGGGCUAGAGUGCGGAAGAGGCGAGUGGAAUUCCUGGUGUAGCGGUGAAAUGCGCAGAUAUCAGGAAGAACACCUAUGGCGAAGGCAGCUCUCUGGGACGGUACUGACGCUGAGGCGCGAAAGCGUGGGGAGCGAACAGG
rnacentral:rRNA from 1 species